rnacentral:rRNA from 1 species
UGCAUUUGGAAUUGGCAGGUUGAAGUCUCGUAGAGGGAGGUAGAAUUCCAGGUGUUGCGGUGAAAUGCGUAGGGAUCUGGAGGAAUACCGGGUGGGAAGGGGGCCUCCUGGACGAAGACUGACGUUCAGUGCGAAAGCGUGGGGAGCAAACAGGAUUAGAUACCCUGGUAGUCCACGCCGUAAACGAGGUCGGUUUGGAGGUAGUGCCCUUGAGCCGUUGAUUCUGGAGAUAACGCGUUAAAUCGACCGCCUGGGGAGUACGGCCGCAAGGUUAAAACUCAAAGAAUUGACGGGGGCCCGCACAAGCGGUGGGGCAUGUGGUUUAAUUCGAUGCAACGCGAAGAACCUUACCUGGUCUUGACAUCCUCAGAACCUGGCAGAGAUGCUGGGGUGCCUUCGGGAACUGUGAGACAGGUGCUGCAUGGCUGUUGUCAGCUUGUGUUGUGAAAUGUUGGGUUAAGUCCCGCAAAGAGCGCAACCCUUAUCCUUUGUUGCCAGCGGUCCGGCCGGGAACUCAAAGGAGACUGCCAGUGAUAAACUGGAGGAAGGGGGGGAUGACGUCAAGUCAUCAUGGCCCUUACGACCAGGGUUACACACGUGUUACAAUGGCGCAUACAAAGAGAAGCGACCUCGCGAGAGCAAGCGGACCUCAUAAAGUGCGUUGUAGUCCGGAUUGGAGUUUGCAACUCGACUCCAUGAAGUGGGAAUCGUUAGUAAUCGUGAAUCAGAAUGUCACGGUGAAUACGUUCCCGGCCCUUGUACACGCCCCCCGUCACACCAUGGGAGUGGGAUGCAAAAGAAUUAGGUAGGUUAACCUUCGGGAGGGCGCUUCCCAAUUUGUGACUCAUGACUGGGGUGAAGUCGUAACAAGGUAACC